rnacentral:misc_RNA from 1 species
UGAAGUCGAGUUGCAGACUUCAUGAAGUUGGAAUCGCUAGUAAUCGCGAAUCAGCAUGUCGCGGUGAAUACGUUCUCGGGGUUUGUACACACCGCCCGUCAAACCACGAAAGUUGACAAUACCCAAAAACGGUAGCCUAACUACGCAAGUAGAGGGAUCCGUCUAAGGUAGGGUUGAUGAUUGGGGUUAAGUCGUAACAAGGUAUCCCUACCGGAAGGUGGGGAUGGAUCACCUCCUUUCUAAGGAAGUUAAAAUCAUCAUCUUCAGUUUUGAAAGACUUAGAGAAUGAUAAAUUUUUUUGUAAGUUUUUCUUUUUUUAAGAAGAAGGGCCUAUAGCUCAGUUGGUUAGAGCACACGCCUGAUAAGCGUGAGGUCGGUGGUUCAAGUCCAUUUAGGCCCACCAAUCUAAUAUAUAUGGCACCUUCUUAAAAAAAAGUUCUUUGAAAAGUAGAUAAAUAAGGCAACGAAUCAAAAAGCGAAGGAAAUAAGGGCGUACAGUGGAUGCCUUGGCACUAAGAGCCGAUGAAGGACGA